rnacentral:snRNA from 1 species
AUACUUACCUGGUACCUGACCCUCGUUGAUCACCAAAGACAAGCCCCACGGCGAGGCGUGGGCAUUGCACUACGCUCGCGCUGACCCCUGCUAUUAUCCCAAACUGGGGCAGAUGAGGCAUGAAAAUUGCUUAAAUCAGGUUCAGUGCAAGAGAGGGCGCCACUGCAUCGGC